rnacentral:rRNA from 1 species
CCCUUAGAUGUCCGGGGCCGCACGCGCGCUACACUGAAGGAAUCAGCGUGGCUUUCUCCCUGACCCGAAAGGGUUGGGAAACCCGUUGAAUCUCCUUCGUGAUAGGGAUUGGGGCUUGAAAUUGUUCCCCAUGAACGAGGAAUUGCCAGUAAGCGCGAGUCAUAAGCUCGCGUUGAUUACGUCCCUGCCCUUUGUACACACCGCCCGUCGCUACUACCGAUUGAACGGUUUAGUGAGGGCCUCGGAUUGGUCUCGGCCCGCUCUUUACCGGGCGGCGCCGUUGGUCGAGAAGACGCUCGAACUUGAUCGUUUAGAGGAAGUAAAAGUCGUAACA